UGCAUUCACUACUGUAAGUCGCUCUGGAUAAAAGCAUCUGCUAAAUGACUCAAA
rfam:Salmo salar isolate Sally breed double haploid chromosome ssa13, whole genome shotgun sequence.